rnacentral:rRNA from 1 species
UGGGGAACCUGCCCCAUAGUCUGGGAUACCACUUGGAAACAGGUGCUAAUACCGGAUAAGAAAGCGGAUCGCAUGAUCAGCUUUUAAAAGGCGGCGUAAGCUGUCGCUAUGGGAUGGCCCCGCGGUGCAUUAGCUAGUUGGUAAGGUAAAGGCUUACCAAGGCGAUGAUGCAUAGCCGAGUUGAGAGACUGAUCGGCCACAUUGGGACUGAGACACGGCCCAAACUCCUACGGGAGGCAGCAGCU